AGGUAAUACUAAUUUAGAAACCUUUAUUCUUUGGCGGCUUUUUUUCUGUUUAAAGGAACUUGUAAACUAAUUCGAUAUUUCACGAUAACUUUUACUUUUUUAAUAUUUUUAUACCGCCGUCUUAAGAUAAAUUUUUUAUAAUCCCUUCUCCUUAGAUUUUUCUUUCAAGUCAGGUCAAGGUGAAGUUUACAAAAAAGACCUUAUGAGUUACUUAUAAAUUCUAUUUAUGGAUGUUCUUCUAAAGAAGUGAUGAAUCAGGAUUUAUAAGUAAAUUAAAAUUAAAAAUUUUAAUCGAAAUAGUAAAAUUAAGUGC
rnacentral:rRNA from 1 species